AACGAACGCUGGCGGCGUGCCUAAAACAUGCAAGUCGGACGAGAAAGUUCUUCGGAAUGAGUAAAGUGGCGCACGGGUGAGUAACACGUGGAUAACCUACCUUAAGGACAGGGAUAACAUAUCGAAAGAGAUGCUAAUACCUGGUGAAGGUGUUUGUCACAUUGGAGUGACGGAUAUGAGAACGGGCCUCUGUUUACAAGUACCGGCCUUAAGAGGGGUCUGCGUCCCAUUAGCUAGUUGGUGAGGUAAAAGCUUAUCCAAGGCGGUGAUGGGUAGCUGGUCUGAGAGGACGAUCAGCCACACUGGGACUGAAACACGGCCCAGACUCCUACGGGAGGCAGCAGUUGGAAUAUUGCGCAAUGGGGCAAGCCCAUCGACGCAGCGACGCCGCGUGAGCGAAGAAGGCCCUUCGGGUUGUAAAGCUCUGUCGAGUGGGAAGAAUGCUUAGUAGUGAAUAACUGCUCAGUUGACGGUACCACUGGA
rnacentral:rRNA from 1 species